rnacentral:rRNA from 1 species
GAUGAACGCUGGCGGCGUGCCUAAUACAUGCGAGUCGAGCGAACGGACGAGAAGCUUGCUUCUCUGAUGUUAGCGGCGGACGGGUGAGUAACACGUGGAUAACCUACCUAUAAGACUGGGAUAACUUCGGGAAACCGUAGCUAAUACCGGAUAAUAUUUUGAACCGCAUGGUUCAAAAGUGAAAGACGGUCUUGCUGUCACUUAUAGAUGGAUCCGCGCUGCAUUAGCUAGUUGGUAAGGUAACGGCUUACCAAGGCAACGAUGCAUAGCCGACCUGAGAGGGUGAUCGGCCACACUGGAACUGAGACACGGUCCAGACUCCUACGGGAGGCAGCAGUAGGGAAUCUUCCGCAAUGGGCGAAAGCCUAACGGAGCAACGCCGCGUGAGUGAUGAAGGUCUUCGGAUCGUAAAACUCUGUUAUUAGGGAAGAACAUAUGUGUAAGUAACUGUGCACAUCUUGACGGUACCUAAUCAGAAAGCCACGGCUAACUACGUG